CCACAGUGUUACACUACUGUAUCAGACAACUAAAUACUCUACGUUGCAACUGAAAGCAGUACCGCCUGUCCUCAGCUGCACAGAAACUGAGCAGCAAUGGUAUAAACCACGAAGACUGGGUGUGAAACCAGGCAGAGUGGGUAACAUGGUAUUCAUCUCAACCAAACCCAAGUCAAGACAGUACACAGCUGCUGAUGGUGUAAGGAGCAAGCGCUACAAAGCAGUGCGGGGGGACUUGCCAGACCCAGAUGUCCUGAAGGUCGACGAGGCAUACCAGGACUUCACGGCAGACCUUGCUCCGCUAAUUACCACACUCUCCAUAAGUAGUGAUGUUCCCCUCGUCGAUUCAGCCUUUGGGACGGUUCAAGAAGGCAGCCCUCUUUCAUACC